GAAACAAAUAAGUUAAAAGAAACAGAAUGAAAGCAAACGAAACAGAGAAGAACAGGGGAGAAAGAAAGGAAAGAAGAAAGAAAAGGGGAAAUAAGGUUUAUGAAGCUUGGAGUUAAUUGCCAACAAAGAACCUGAAGCAUCAGCAUCGAAAGGAAAGGAGAAAGUCAUCGAGGACUAAAACAGGAGAAUUACGUUAACAAAGUACCCAAGACAUCGGUGCACAAAGGAAAGAAGAAAGCUAUCGAG